GACGAACGCCGGCGGCGUGCCUAAUACAUGCAAGUCGAGCGGACCUCUUCGGAGGUUAGCGGCGGACGGGUGAGUAACACGUGGGCAACCUGCCUGUAAGACUGGGAUAACUUCGGGGAACCGGAGCUAAUACCGGAUAAUCCUUUCCCUCUCAUGAGGGAAAGCUGAAAGACGGUUUCGGCUGUCACUUACAGAUGGGCCCGCGGCGCAUUAGCUAGUUGGUGAGGUAACGGCUCACCAAGGCGCAGAUGCGUAGCCGACCUGAGAGGGUGAUCGGCCACACUGGGACUGAGACACGGCCCAGACUCCUACGGGAGGCAGCAGUAGGGAAUCUUCCGCAAUGGACGAAAGUCUGACGGAGCAACGCCGCGUGAGCGAAGAAGGCCUUCGGGUCGUAAAGCUCUGUUGUCAGGGAAGAACAAGUAUCGGAGUAACUGCCGGUACCUUGACGGUACCUGACCAGAAAGCCACGGCUAACUACGUGCCAGCAGCCGCCGCAG
rnacentral:rRNA from 1 species